rnacentral:ncRNA from 1 species
UAUGGCGCCUGGGGGUGCCCUGCCAGGGCUGAGAGCCGCGCGGCGGGGCCCGGCCGGAGGCGGCGCGGGCGAAAGUUCACGCAAUCUUCAAAAAGGCCGGCGCGGCGCGGCAACCCCUCGAACCUGAUCCGGGUAAUUCCGGCGUAGGGAUAGGUCCCAGCAAGCCAA